rnacentral:lncRNA from 1 species
UCAGCACCCUGUGUUUAGCUCAAGGUUUGUGAGUGCACCAAUGGACACUCUGUAUCUAGCUGCUCUGGUGGGGCCUUGGAGAACCUUUGUGUCCAGACUCUGUAUCUAACUAAUCUGAUGGGGACGUGGAGAACCUUUGUAUCUAGCUCAGGGAUUGUAAACGCACCAAUCAGCGCCCUGACAAAACAGGCCACUCGGCUCUACCAAUCAGCAGGAUGUGGGUGGGGCCAGAUAAGAGAAUAAAAGCAGGCUGCCCGGGCCAGCAUUGGCAACCAGCUCAGGUCCCCUUCCACACUGUGGAAGCUUUGUUCUUUCACUCUUUGCAAUAAAUCUUGCUACUGCUCACUCUUUGGGUUCACACUGUUUUCAUGAGCUGUAACACUCACCGCGAAGAUCUGCAGCUUCACUCCUGAGCCCAGCGAGCCAGCGAGCCCACGAGCCCACCAGGAGGAACGAACAACUCCAGACGCGCCGCCUUCAGAGCUGUAACACUCACCACAAAGGUCUGCAGCUUCACUCCUGAGCCAGCAAGACCAGGAACCCACCAGAAGGAAGAAACUCCGAACACAUCUGAACAUCAGAAGGGACAGACUCCAGACAUGCCACCUUAAGAGCUGUAACACUCACCGCGAGAGUCCGCGGCUUCAUUCUUGAAGUCAGUGAGACCAAGAACCCACCAAUUCUGGACACAAUAGAUGUGUUUGCUUCUCUCUCCACCAUGAUUUUAAGUUUCCUGAGGCCUCCGCAGCCCUGCAAAACUGCCUCUGAGCCCAAGCCAAGCCAUCGCAUCCCCUUGCAAUUGCCAAGCCAUUGCACGUAUACGCCCAGAUGGCCUGAAGUAACUGAAGAAUCACAAAAGAAGUGAAAAGGCCCUGCCCCGCCUUAACUGAUGACAUUCCACCAUUGUGAUUUGUUCCUGCCCCACCUUAACUGAGUGAUUAACCCUGUGAAUUUCCUUCUCCUGGAUCAGAAGCUCCCCCACUGAGCACCUUGUGACCCCCGCCCCUGCCCACCAGAGAACAACCCCCUUUGACUGUAAUUUUCCAUUACCUUCCCAAAUCCUAUAAAACAGCCCCACCCCUAUCUUCCUUCGCUGACUCUCUUUUUGGACUCAGCCUGCCUGCACCCAGGUGAAAUAAACAGUCAUGUUGCUCACACAAAGCCUGUUUGGUGGUCUCUUCACACGGACGCGCAUGAAACUAAUGACAGCUGGCUCCAGUCCUCUUGAAUUUUGCUAAUCUGGUUAUUAAAAAGCG